GUACAUAUAUAUAUAUAUAUGCACACUAUAUACAUGUAUAUAUGUGUGUGUGUAUAUAUAUAUAUGUAU